rnacentral:rRNA from 1 species
AUUGAACGCUGGCGGCAUGCUUUACACAUGCAAGUCGAACGGUAACAGGGAGCUUGCUCCGCUGACGAGUGGCGAACGGGUGAGUAAUGCAUCGGAACGUACCCAGUCGUGGGGGAUAACGUAGCGAAAGUUACGCUAAUACCGCAUACGUCCUGAGGGAGAAAGACGGGGGACCGGUAAGGCCUCGCGCGAUUGGAGCGGCCGAUGUCGGAUUAGCUAGUUGGUAGGGUAAAGGCCUACCAAGGCGACGAUCCGUAGCGGGUCUGAGAGGAUGAUCCGCCACACUGGGACUGAGACACGGCCCAGACUCCUACGGGAGGCAGCAGUGGGGAAUUUUGGACAGUGGGCGAAAGCCUGAUCCAGCCAUGCCGCGUGAGUGAAGAAGGCCUUCGGUUGUAAGACUCUUUCUAGACGGAAAGAAAUACGCAUCUUCUAAUACAGGGUGUGGGAUGACGGUACCGUAAGAAGAAGCACCGG